rnacentral:tRNA from 1 species
AAAAGGGGGUGGGCGACACUAGCCCGUGCCGCCCAACUCAAACUUGGUCAAAAUCCAAAUUUUUCACUGUGAGUGCAUUCCCCAUCCUCUUCUG